rnacentral:tRNA from 2 species
GGGGGUUUAGCUCAGUUGGUAGAGCACCUGCUUUGCACGCAGGGGGUCAGGAGUUCGAAUCUCCUAACCUCCACCA